GGCCAAAAAAAAGAUGUGGGGUUCAGCUGCAAAAUUGACUUCAUAUCACUAUUGGCUUGACUCUGCUCGAAAGGAAAUAUUUGCUUUGAAAUCGCUGAUCAUCAGCAGAGAUUCUGGAUGGGCAACUUUUGUACACAAGUUGCAACUUCAAGUUGAACUACAUAAUGCCAAAGACAAAAUUUUCAACCUGCAACAGGCAUUGAACUAUAAAA
rnacentral:lncRNA from 1 species